rnacentral:lncRNA from 1 species
AGAGGAGCCUGCAAAGCCAAGACCCCACACUGCAAUGGACCGAAGUCCUGGCACCAUGGGUCGGUUACCAGGGACUCAAGCCCUCUCCAGUCACCUCCUGCCACCCUAGCAGCUCUGUCAACGGCCGGACAGCAGGAGGCUGAUGGGGCACUGAGGAUCGCAUGGUGUUGCCCAGGUUGAAUUUGCAAUCCUCCUGCGUCAGCCUCCCAAGAAACUGGAGUAACAGGUGUAUGCCACCAGGUCCAGCUUGCCUUAACCGUUCCUGAGUGCACCAUUCAGGGCACAAAGCACCGUCUGUCCGAAGAACUUCACCUUGUCCAGCUGCACCUGCGGGUCCAGCUCCAGGCAGCCUGUCUGCUCUGUCCACCUGCCCGGUACCUACUCCACACCUUCUGGACCCGUGUACCUCACAAGAAGUCUUCAAGUCAGGUGCUGUUGGCCCUCCAACUCUGUUCUGUUCCUCUUUCUUUCUUUCUUUCUUUCUUUGUAAGUUGAUUUGGUUAUUUAAACCCUUUGCAUUUGGGGUUGAAUAUUCAAAUCAGGUUUUUAAUUUCUACCUCAAAUACAAAUCCUCUGUGAUUUGUAUUGGUAUUGCAUUAAAAUUAAAGAUGACUUUGGGGAGAAUUUAGUGUUCUGACCCAUGAAUGGGGCUCUCUCUCCACUUAUUGAGGUCUUUGAUUACCCUCAGAAAUUUUUAAUAAGGCCUCUACAUAUUUUGUCAAGUUUAUCUCUAAGUAUAUCUGAUGUUGGAAGUGAUGUUCUUAGAUUUCAAUUUCCAGUCAUUUGUUGCUAGUGUAUAGAAACGCAAUUGGUUUUUAUGUGUCAACCCUUGUAUUUUGUAGUUUUUGUAGGUAUUUUGAAUAUGCCAUAGGAUUUUCAGCGAGGAUAAUUAUGUCACCUACAAAUUAGGAGUUUUAUUUCGUCAGAUCAUUUGUUACCAAGUGGAAGGGAAGUGGGCAGAGUGGACAUCGCUGUCUUGUCCCAGUAUCAGGACCACGCUUCAGCCUUUCAUUGUUGAGUGCUGUGUUACCUGAAGCCUGGGCAUGUGCCCUUCAGCAAAUUACAGAAGUUCCCUUCUUGGACAGUUCAUUGAAAAUUUUGAUCAGGAAAGAAUGUUAAAUUUUGUAAAUGCUUUUUCUGGAGCUAUUAAGAUCUUGUGGGUUGUCCAUUUUGGACUAUUAGUGGUGAACUGUACUACCUAACAUUUCUAUUUUUUUUUUUUUGGUACCAG